GUUGAGUUGGCUAGAUAUGGUGGAGUUGGCUAGAUAUGGUUGAGUUGGCUAGAUACGUUUGAGUUGGCUAGAUACGGUUGAGUUGGCUAGAUACGGUUGAGUUGGCUAGAUACGGUUGAGUUGGCUAGAUACGGUUGAGUUGGCUAGAUAUGUUGAGUUGGCUAGAUACGGUUGAUUGGCUAGAUAGGUUGAGUUGGCUAGAUAGGUUGAGUUGGCUAGAUACGGUUGAGUUGGCUAGAUACGUUGAGUUGGCUAGAUACGGUUGAGUUGGCUAGAUACGGUUGAGUUGGCUAGAUACGGUUGAGUUGGCUAGAUAUGGUUGAGU
ensembl:lncRNA